UACGGAGGGAGCUAGCGUUGUUCGGAAUUACUGGGCGUAAAGCGCGCGUAGGCGGCUUUGUAAGUUAGAGGUGAAAGCCCGGGGCUCAACCCCGGAAUUGCCUUUAAGACUGCAUCGCUUGAAUCCGGGAGAGGUGAGUGGAAUUCCGAGUGUAGAGGUGAAAUUCGUAGAUAUUCGGAAGAACACCAGUGGCGAAGGCGACUCACUGGACAUGUAUUGACGCUGAGGUGCGAAAGCGUGGGGAGCAAACAGG
rnacentral:rRNA from 1 species